CAUUAUUAAUGCUAUGAGACAAUCUUAUUGUACAAAUAAAGAGAAUGAUUUCAUGUGCUGGCUAGGGCCAUAGCCCCACCUUUCCAAAGAGUAUCAACUUUUCAACUAUCCAUGCAUUAUGACUCCAGAGACUUGUAAACCCUCUCAGGUGUAAUAAAUUUUUUUUUUUUUUUUGAGAGGAGUCUCGCUCUGUUGUAAGGCUGGAGUGCAGUGGCGCUAUCUCGGCUCACUGCAACCUGCGCCUCCUGGGUUCAAGUGAUUCUCCUGCCUCAGCCUCCCGAGUAGCUGGGACUACAGGCACAGGCCACCCUGCCCGGCUAAUUUUUAUAUUUUUUUUAGUACAGAUGGAGUUUCACCAUGUUGGCCAGGCUGGUCUCAAACUCCUGUCCUCGUGAUCCGCCCGCCACGGCCUCUCAAAGUGCUGGGAUUACAGGCGUGAGCCACCUCGCCCAGACAAGACUGAAAGUUUUAUUGCACUCUUAGUGGCACUGGUUAUCAGCACUUAUUUUCAAUCUUUGUCAAUCUGACGGGGGAGGGGUCUCUUUCUGUAAUUUAAUUAGGCAAAGUUGAAUUUUUACUCACAUAUUCAUAGGAAUAACUUUACUACCUUAAGGACUUGUAAUUCUUUGUUUUUUUACUUAAGAAGAUUGCAUUUAGUUCUUAAUGUAUUUGUAGACAGAGCAUUAUUACUAUUUUUUUUUUUUUUUUUUUUUUUUUGAGACGGAGUCUCGCUGUCGCCCAGGCUGGAGUGCAGUGGC
rnacentral:lncRNA from 1 species